AGUGAGCGCUGGCGGUAGGCCUAACACAUGCAAGUCGAACGGCAGCACAGUAAGAGCUUGCUCUUACGGGUAGCGAGUGGCGGACGGGUGAGGAAUACAUCGGAAUCUACUUUUUCGUGGGGGAUAACGUAGGGAAACUUACGCUAAUACCGCAUACGACCUACGGGUGAAAGCAGGGGAUCUUCGGACCUUGCGCGAUUGAAUGAGCCGAUGUCGGAUUAGCUAGUUGGCGGGGUAAAGGCCCACCAAGGCGACGAUCCGUAGCUGGUCUGAGAGGAUGAUCAGCCACACUGGAACUGAGACACGGUCCAGACUCCUACGGGAGGCAGCAGUGGGGAAUAUUGGACAAUGGGCGCAAGCCUGAUCCAGCCAUACCGCGUGGGUGAAGAAGGCCUUCGGGUUGUAAAGCCCUUUUGUUGGGAAAGAAAAGCAGCAGGUUAAUACCCCGCUGUUCUGACGGUACCCAAAGAAUAAGCACCGGCUAACUUCGUG
rnacentral:rRNA from 1 species